rnacentral:sRNA from 1 species
UAUUCUGCCCUGCGGGGAAGGAUGAGAAGCUUCGACUAAGGUUCGACUCGAGCGCCAGCGAGAGAACGUUGCCGCAGGCAACGGCCCGAAGGGCGAGGAGCGAUAGCGCCGAGUAAUCCUUCCCCCACCACCA